rnacentral:rRNA from 1 species
GAUGAACGCUGGCGGCGUGCUUAACACAUGCAAGUCGAACGAUCAGGCCCAGCUUUCUGGGUGCAUUCGUGGCGAACGGGUGGGUGACACAUGAGUAACCUGCCCUUAUCUCUGUGAUAAACCUGUGAAACUGGGUGGAAUACCUGAUAGAAGAGCCUACGUCACGGGGGGUGGUGUAGAGAUUUACGGGUUUUGGGUGGACUCGCGGCGUAUCAGCUUGUUGGUGAGGUAUUGGCUCACCAAGGCGAUGACGGGUAGCCGGCCUGAGAGGGUGACCGGCCACACUGGGACUGAGACACGGCCCAGACUCAUACGGGAGGCAGCAGUGGGGAAUAUUGCACAAUGGGCGAAAGCCUGAUGCAGCGACGCCGCGUGAGGGAUGACGGCCUUCGGGUUGUAAACCUCUUUCAGUAGAGAAGAAGCGAAAGUGACGGUACCUGCAGAAGAAGCACCGGCUAACUACGUG